rnacentral:rRNA from 1 species
AUGAACGCUGGCGGCGUGCCUAAUACAUGCAAGUCGAGCGAACAGAUAAGGAGCUUGCUCCUUUGACGUUAGCGGCGGACGGGUGAGUAACACGUGGGUAACCUACCUAUAAGACUGGGAUAACUUCGGGAAACCGGAGCUAAUACCGGAUAAUAUUUCGAACCGCAUGGUUCGAUAGUGAAAGAUGGUUUUGCUAUCACUUAUAGAUGGACCCGCGCCGUAUUAGCUAGUUGGUAAGGUAACGGCUUACCAAGGCGACGAUACGUAGCCGACCUGAGAGGGUGAUCGGCCACACUGGAACUGAGACACGGUCCAGACUCCUACGGGAGGCAGCAGUAGGGAAUCUUCCGCAAUGGGCGAAAGCCUGACGGAGCAACGCCGCGUGAGUGAUGAAGGUCUUCGGAUCGUAAAACUCUGUUAUUAGGGAAGGACAUACGUGUAAGUAACUGUGCACGUCUUGACGGUACCUAAUCAGAAAGCCACGGCUAACUACGUG